rnacentral:tRNA from 1 species
GGGUUCAUAGCUCAGCUGGUCAGAGCGCCUGCCUUACAAGCAGGAUGUCGGGGGUUCGACUCCCUCUGGACCCA